UUUUCAUCAAGUUUACUAUUAGUUUUGCUACUUACAUAUUCAUAUUCCCAUAAGAUGUAAUGCAUUUGCCCAACUUAUGGUACAUAUUAUACCUUCGUCUUUUAAAUGGACAAAACCUUUAUUCCUGUACACUGUAUGUAAUAUUGUCUUACAACCAAAUCUUACAUAAUUAGCAUCUGAUCUAUAUUUACUUGAGCCGUUUUAUUUACAAAUCUGGAACGUCAGCCUUGAUAUCCAUUUCACAUCCACAAUGUUUGUUUUUUUUAUUUUCAGUUUUGCUUUGGUUUAUAUUACAUUGACUGUUCAGAUAUGCAAAUGAAAAUGAAAAACAUGCACACUAUAUAUCCAAAGAUAUUUUAAUUGCUUCUCGAUGGUUGUCAUUUCAUCCUGGUACUGUUGUGUCACAAGUCGGGGGAAAAAAAGGAAAUGGUUACAUACAGUAACAUUACAAAACUGCAUUGUGCUGCACUUAAUCCCAGCCGCUAAAUGAAAUCACUUCUGCAUUCGUGAAGAAUAUUUGCAUAUUGCAAAACAGAAGACCUUCGUCCCUCUGCAUUGCUCAUAGUCAAACAGAUGCAUAGAGCAUACAACGCUUGGAGAAACUGCAGCAAAGCUGGACUUUGGUUAAAAUGACAGAUAGUUUAUCUCAUAUGUGUACAUAUAGACUUAUUACAGACCUGCUUUACUUUCAACACAGCCGAUCUCUGAGAGAACUCUAAACAUUUCAUUUUAAUGUCUUCCAUCACUUUAUUCUAUGGAAGCUUGUUUCCGCCACGGGACAAAAAUAAUAAUAAUAAUAAUAAAGGUAAUUGCAAUUGCUUUUUUGAAUCUCACAUUUAAGAGGAAAAAAAGGUAGGUCAUUUUUUUUUUAAUGAACUUUUAUUUUUAUUCCGUGGCAGGAAAAAAAAUAGCCUAAAGUCAGAAUUGCAAAAAAAAGUCAGAAUUCUGAAUUUUUCCCAAAAUUAUGAGUUAACAAAUAUCAUUGAUGAAUACUCUCAGAUCAAACUACAUUUAUUUGUCCCAAAUGGAACUGCUGAUUGUCCAUAAUUCAUUGCUGUAUUAUUUUCUCAGUGAUUAAGCCUCUUCAUUCCAAAGAACUUCAGUGUCAGUGCAUGAGCCAUGAUAGAAACAACACAUUUUGCAUUAUUAAUAAAUGGCUUGACUCAUUUGUGAAGGAAAACCAGCAUAAAGUAAUGUGUGUGAUUCCCUGCAUCAUUUCAGUAUACAACAAAAUCAAUUCUUUCAUCAUUUACUCAUCCUCAUGUCAUUUCAAUUUGUAUGACUUACUUUCUUCUGUGGAACACGAAAGGAGAUGUUUGGGAGAAUGUCCACGCUGCUCUUUUCCAUUCAACAAAAACACAUAGCAAGUUAGCAACCUAAAGAGGGGCUGUCAAGCUUCAAAAGGGACCAAAAAACAACAUAAAGUAUAGUAUAAAGUCUUUGUGUGAGUGAAAAACAGUCUGAAAUUCAUUUACACACUGAAAAGCUUCCCCUCCUCCAUAGCUCCCGUAUCUGAUUUGCAUAGUCAAAUGUCACAUUUCAUUGGUUCUAUGUGUCUCGAGGCAUAUCGCCAUGAUUUUGAAUGGUCUGAACCGAAGGCAAAUGUAUGGAAGCUUGGUUCCGCUACAGCA